UACAGAAAUGGCCAUGUGGGUUGUCUCGACAGCGGCCUGAUGAAGGUGACCAUCACCUAAGAGGUUACCAAGGCCUCUACAGGGGCAGAGGAGGAAGUGUGCUAGGGUCCUGAGAAGUACCUGGAGUCCUGGUUCUCAGGGUCUCCUCCAAGAGGAAGUAGAGGCAGGGACCAAAACGAUCCUUGGCUUUGGAGCCGGGAACUGGAAGAGUCUCAGCCCUUCAUUGGUCGGAGGUUGUGCCUGCUUUGCAGAAAGGCAGCUCCAGCCAGGAAGACAGAUGAGGAUAGUGCCUUUGCUUCCAGAACUAACUCAAGGCUGCCUCCUGGGCAUGCUCCGUAGGCUCUGGGGCUACAGUUUGCACUCUAACUGCUGCAGAGAUAGCAUACAAUCUCCUGCUUCCUUCUGCAUCCACUCCUCCACAGUUCCCACCUACUACCAAGCAGGUGACCACUGCUAUCACAAAGAAUGUACGACCAUUGACCAGCUGGAUUUUGGGUAUGGUGGGACUUUAAGAACUCGUGUUUGUACUCACACAGGACACAUACAUCUAUCUGUACUCAUGAAUACACACACAUGGAUGCACACAUGUACAUGUGCAUGUACACACACACCAGGAACUUGUGUCAUGAAAACCUGAAACAAGCUCAAAUUAAUGCUUGGCCCAAGGAGAACUGUGUGUCAGUCCCCUGAUGAGGGGUAGGGAAAUGAAAGUCAGGGAGGGAGGCUGAGCAAAUGUGGAAAGAUGAACAUGAAUGAUACCUAGUCAGCCCGGGACUGGUCUCUCAGAGAAUCAAUUCCCUAAAACCAAGACUUGGCACAGCUCAGAGAUGUGCACCCAGUGUGUUGCAUCAGUGUGUUUUUCUGGGCUUCCAUCUGUGUGGAGGGAACGGGAGGUAGUCAGGGGUGACAAAGAGCCUUUUCAGUAGCUUAGCACAAAUGCUAAACACCCAGUGCUUGCUUCACUUCUUCAGGAAGUUGCUUUUGGAUGCUCUCAGCUGAAGGCUACCGAAAGCAACUCCCCCUCCUCCUCCCGCCAAGCAAGCACAGGGCAUUGGAGGAUCUUUCCUAACUAGCUGGCUCAUCUGCUGGCAAAGCUGACCUCUCGAAUGCAAGAAAGGCUGUCUGCUCACAUGUGUGGCCAGCACUGCCCUCUACCGUCCUCAGUGAGCUUCUCAGUCUGCCAUGGAACACCUGGCUUAGAAACCUGAUGUCCUGUGGCCGCAGCUGUUGCAGGUGUCUCAUGGAGCUGCACAACCUCCAGGACCUGCUGAGGAUGACUGGCCUGGGUCAGCAGGAUGGCCCACCCCGGAACAAACCGCUUUUCUGUCUUCACAACACUGCCUGCCUUUCAGAAAGGAAGGCCAACCCUCUCAGCUGGGGCUGGCUUGCAGAGGAGAGUGACCUUGCUUCCAGGCCUCAUGUCAGGGCUGCCUCCUGGGGGACUGGUUUUGUCCUCUUCAUGCUCUGUAUUGUCCACUGUCCUCUGUCUCCUGUCCCUCCCUACCCAUGUUCUCAUGGUUUUGAAGCCCAAGCCUUAGACCUCCCGGUACCAAGUUCCCCCCUAAGAAUACGAAAGGUAAUGCAGGCAACUUGACUGGCACAGGACAUGUCCGGUCAUGGUGAUCAGGGAGUAUAAACUUCAUUAGUUGUGGCCAAACAUGUGACUCUGACAGCAGGUUUAUAAAGACUGGAAGAGUGACAAGCCUCCCCCAACAAGGAGCAUCAUUCUGCUCUUUCACCCAAAUCUAGAAAGCUGCUGAGUGCACAGCCAAGAUCAGGGCUGUUACUAUGACAGGGUGACUCUGAUGUGGGACAGAAGCAGCUUCAUUGACAGGGAGAAUGAGGGUUGAUGGUUCAGCACAGAUGGCACCCUCAAAGCGCAGGAAACAACCUCACCCACAGGGAGUAGGCACCUCAGGGCCCCUGCUGUCUAUAGGCCUGUGUACCCAACUUUGUAUUGUAAAGGAACAAAGAAAGAUGAGGGGCAGAGAAGGAGGCAGAAUCCAGAGAGGAGGUGGCUUUCCCUAACGACCAGCCAACCUGUUGGCAUCCAAAGGAGGAAGAUUCUAGAACAGUGUCCAGGACUCUGAGUAGUUGGUGUGUUUGUCUAUUUCUAUGAGUACUUGGCUAGGCAGCCUAAAUUGGCAAGUAUGGAGCCAUAUUGGGAGAGACAAGCCUAAGGGCAGAGAUCUGGCUUGCACAGGUGCUAAGCAGGACAGGGCUGGCACUGUCCUUCUUAUCUCUCUCCUGACAAGGACCUGGUACCCCCAGUUUGUAAGCACCUCAGAACCCCGCUCAUAGCCACUUAGACCUCUAACACAGCAGCAACCAGGACUUCCCUGGCCCCAUGCUUGGCUCUGUUCCCAUUUCUCAACCUUCAUUAUUUUAGUCAGACCUAGGACUAGAUACUCAAGGGUGCAUCACUGGUCUCUGUGGUCAUUGUGGCAUUGAGUGGAAGAAAUGGAACACCCUCAAUCUGAUCAAAAACCCAAGACAAAGAAGAAGACAUAGAAAAUUGAGAUAAGAUCAUCUUUUGCCCAUCUGGAUCUAUGGAUUCUCCUAUUUCUUCUAUUCCAUUUACAGGGUUGACCAGCAGAUGGGGUAGAAGAAGAAUCCAGUUGUACCAACUACAGAAAGGGAGAAGAUGUCUAGAAGGAAAGCUGGUCCAGAAGACAGCUGAGGGAAAAGUACCUGGGAGCAAGAGUUCUGUGCUCCAGACGGCAUGCUGGCAGCUGUUGGGCUAGCGUGAGAGCUAGGCUGCAAGGGGCUGGGUCAAACUGAAUGGCAGCAGUGACUCAACAAGGCCUGGACAAAAAAAAUGUUCUGAUGGAGAGGCAGGGGGUUUUGGACUGCAGCUAGAGGCCGUGGGAGAAGCGAGCCUCAAGCAAAGCAGCUCAGGAUGCAACUCCUAUGUGAAUAACCAGCGGAAGAGGGGGCUGUGCACGUACUUGACGUUGGUGUUGGUGCAGAUGACGUACUCGAUCUCAUCGGAAUAGGGGUUCUGGAAGGUGAAGCUGCUGGUACGGAUCAACAGCCACUCCCGGUUCUUGGUGCGGAACCGAUACAUGACCGACAGCACUUGGCCCUUCAGCUUAACCACCUGCAAAAACAUUUGGACAAGGAAGUCAGCAGGAGGAGGAAGAGGAAUGGCUAGGCAGUGUGGCCGGUUGCUGAGAAGGCCAGCAGGACCUCAGAAUAGGCGGGCUGCUUCCAACCACAGCAAGGGGGGCUACGAGAGUAAGAGUGACAGGUAGAAGCUAAGCUCUCACUUCAUCUGCGUCCCUUGAAACAGGGAGGGCACUGCCCUCGGGUCAUUCUGCCAUCUCGGGUGAGGGACCAGUAACAGUCAAUGCUUCUAAUUCAGUGAAUACAAAUCAGAUGGUGAGCACACCAUAAGAGCUGUAUUUCUUCAUUUUCUUUUUUUUUUCUCCCCCCUUGGGCUUCAUUAGGAUUAGAUGCUAGUAUUCUUUGGAGUAGCUUGUCUCAUAGAGGUAUGCAGCUACAAUGCAUCAUGGACUCAUUUCUUAGAUGGGCUUAAUUCACAUAAGAUUUUAACCUCUGUUUGACAUUGUAAAAUGAAUCAAACUCUCAGGAAGGAGGUGGAAUAAAAUGGUAGGUCUGUAUGCAUUA